rnacentral:lncRNA from 1 species
CAAGUUUCAGUCUGAAUGUCUGGGGUCCAUCUGUGUCCGUAGUCGCUGCUGUCGUUUCAAGUUUCUUCCCCUUGGGACCAUAGUUGAGUCACAGCCUAAUGGUAAACGUUGUGAAGUUGGCAACUGGAGUCAUGGCUUUUCAUAUCUCUACAGAUUUUGAUCAAGAUAUCCCAUUUGUUAAUAUCCUCCUGAAAUUUUAUUUGCUUGUCGUG